rnacentral:rRNA from 1 species
AACGAACGCUGGCGGCAGGCCUAACACAUGCAAGUCGAACGAAGUCUUCGGACUUAGUGGCGCACGGGUGAGUAACACGUGGGAAUAUACCUUUCGGUGGGGAAUAACAUCGGGAAACUGAUGCUAAUACCGCAUACGCCCUUCGGGGGAAAGAUUUAUCGCCGAGAGAUUAGCCCGCGUCCGAUUAGGUAGUUGGUGAGGUAAUGGCUCACAAAGCCUGCGAUCGGUAGCUGGUCUGAGAGGAUGAUCAGCCACACUGGGACUGAGACACGGCACAGACUCCUACGGGAGGCAGCAGUGGGGAAUAUUGGACAAUGGGCGCAAGCCUGAUCCAGCCAUGCCGCGUGAGUGAUGAAGGCCUUAGGGUUGUAAAGCUCUUUCGACGGGGACGAUGAUGACGGUACCCGUAGAAGAAGCCCCGGCUAACUUCGUGCCAGCCGCCGCGGUAA